rnacentral:rRNA from 1 species
AGAGUUUGAUCCUGGCUCAGAAUGAACGUUGGCGGCGUGGAUUAGGCAUGCAAGUCGAGGGAGAACCCGCAAGGGGGACACCGGCGAACGGGGUAGGAAUACGUAGGUAACGUACCCUCAGGACGGGGAUAGCCACGGGAAACUGUGGGUAAUACCCGAUGAUCUGGUCUGGUUUAAUUAUCGGAUCAGCAAAGGUGAGAUUCCACCUGAGGAGCGGCUUACGCGAUAUUAGCUUGUUGGCGAGGUAACGGCUCACCAAGGCUGCGAUAUCUAGGGGGUGUGAGAGCAUGGCCCCCACCACUGGGACUGAGAUACUGCCCAGACACCUACGGGUGGCUGCAGUCGAGAAUCUUCGGCAAUGGGCGAAAGCCUGACCGAGCGACGCCGCGUGCGGGACGAAGGCCUUCGGGUUGUAAACCGCUGUCGGGAGGGAUGAAGUGCACGGGGGCUAUCCCCUGUGUUUGACAGAGCUCCGGAGGAAGCACGGGCUAAGUUCGUGCCAGCAGCCGCGGUAAUACGAACUGUGCGAACGUUAUUCGGAAUCACUGGGCUUAAAGGGUGCGUAGGCGGCGCUGUAAGUCAGGUGUGAAAUCCCCCGGCUCAACCGGGGAAUGGCGCUUGAAACUGCAGUGCUUGAGUGAGGUAGGGGUGCAUGGAACUUCCGGUGGAGCGGUGAAAUGUGUAGAUAUCGGAAGGAACGCCGGCGGCGAAAGCGGUGCACUGGGCCUUGUCUGACGCUGAGGCACGAAAGCUAGGGUAGCGAACGGGAUUAGAUACCCCGGUAGUCCUAGCCGUAAACACUGAGCACUGGAGCGAAGGGGUUUCGGCCUUUCCGCUCGCAGCGAAAGCGUUAAGUGCUCCGCCUGGGGAGUAUGGUCGCAAGGCUGAAACUCAAAGAAAUUGACGGGGGCUCACACAAGCGGUGGAGCAUGUGGCUUAAUUCGAGGCAACGCGAAGAACCUUAUCCUGGAUUUGACAUGUGCGGAUUAACUCUCUGAAAGGAGAGCCACGCCUUCGGGUGGAACGUGCACAGGUGCUGCAUGGCUGUCGUCAGCUCGUGUCGUGAGAUGUCGCGUUAAGUCGCUAAACGAGCGUAACCCCUAUCCUUAGUUGCCAGCACGUUAUGGUGGGGACUCUAAGGAGACCGCCGGCGUCAAGCCGGAGGAAGGCGGGGAUGACGUCAAGUCCUCAUGGCCUUUAUGUCCAGGGCUGCACACGUGCUACAAUGGUGCGUACAGAGGGACGCUAAGCCGCGAGGCCAAGCAAAUCCCAAAAAGCGUGCCCCAGUUCGGAUUGCAGGCUGCAACUCGCCUGCAUGAAGCCGGAAUCGUUAGUAAUCGCCGGUCAGCAAUACGGCGGUGAAUGUGUUCCUGAGCCUUGUACACACCGCCCGUCAAGCCACGAAAGCGGGGGGCGCCUAAAGCCGCUCGUCUAACCGCAAGGAGGACGGCGUCCAAGGCGAAACUCGUGAUUGGGACUAAGUCGUAACAAGGUAGCCGU